AUGAUACGCGAAGAACUUACCGGGUUUGACAUGCAGGUGAUCGCCGUUGUAAAGACGGUUUCCUCUUCGGAGGCACCUGCACAGGCGCUGCAUGGCUGUCGUCAGCUCGUGUCGUGAGAUGUUGGGUUAAGUCCCGCAACGAGCGCAACCCUUAUCCCCAGUUGCCAUCAGGUAAAGCUGGGAACUCUGGGGAGACUGCCGGUGAUAAACCGGAGGAAGGCGGGGAUGACGUCAAGUCCUCAUGGCCCUUACAUCCCGGGCUACACACGUGCUACAAUGGCAGGUACAGAGGGCUGCGAAGCCGCGAGGUGGAGCGAAUCCCAGAAAACCUGUCUCAGUCCGGAUUGAAGUCUGCAACUCGACUUCAUGAAGGCGGAAUCGCUAGUAACCGCGAAUCAGCAGGUCGCGGUGAAUACGUUCCCGGGCCUU
rnacentral:rRNA from 1 species